GUGUAACCUGCAGCAUGAUUCAUUACCGAGUGGUAGGGUUCCUUAGCGAGCCCAACCCUCCCCACCCCGUGUUUACUGUACUUUAAUUGCUUCGGCGGGCCCCGCCCAUUCAUGGCCGCCCGGGGGUUUCAGCCCCGGGCCCCGCGCCCCGCCGGAGACACCACGAACUCUGUCUGAUCUAGUGAAGUCUGAGUUGAUUGUAUCGCAAUCAGUUAAAACUUUCAACAAUGGAUCUCUUGGUUCCGGCAUCGAUGAAGAACGCAGCGAAAUGCGAUAACUAGUGUGAAUUGCAGAAUUCCGUGAAUCAUCGAGUCUUUGAACGCACAUUGCGCCCCCUGGUAUUCCGGGGGGCAUGCCUGUCCGAGCGUCAUUGCUGCCCAUCAAGCACGGCUUGUGUGUUGGGUCGUCGUCCCCUCUCCGGGGGGGACGGGCCCCAAAGGCAGCGGCGGCACCGCGUCCGAUCCUCGAGCGUAUGGGGCUUGUCACCCGCUCUGUAGGCCCGGCCGGCGCUUGCCGAACGCAAAUCAACUUUCCAGGUUGACCUCGGAUCAGGUAGGGAACCCGUGAUUAGG
rnacentral:rRNA from 1 species